AUUGAACGCUGGCGGCAGGCCUAACACAUGCAAGUCGAACGGAGUGGCGGACGGGUGAGUAAUGUCUGGGAAACUGCCCGAUGGAGGGGGAUAACUACUGGAAACGGUAGCUAAUACCGCAUACUAUCAGAUGAGCCUAGGUCGGAUUAGCUAGUUGGUGGGGUAAAGGCCUACCAAGGCGACGAUCCGUAACUGGUCUGAGAGGAUGAUCAGUCACACUGGAACUGAGACACGGUGCAAACUCGUACGUGAGGCAGCAGUGGGGAAUAUUGGACAAGGGGCGCGAGCCUGAUCCGACCAUGCCGCGUGUGUGAAGAAGGUCUUCGGAUUGUAAAGCACUUUAAGUUGGGAAGCGUUACCAACAGAAUAAGCACCGGCUAACUUCGUGCCAGCCGCCGCGGUAAUAC
rnacentral:rRNA from 1 species